GGUAGAAAAUAAUCCCGACGUCACAAUGGAUGAUUUGUUACGAUUUGGAAAUGCAUACAAUUUUGGAGUACAGCAGCAAUACUGCAAUGACUGCAGCUUCGUAGCCACACGAGCAUUUUAAAAACCAAAACCUUGUCAGCAUGCAACACACGAGUAUAUAUAGAUACAAAGCAGAAUUCUGAUUUGUGCAUGCUAAUCUCCCAGCCUCCCUAAAAAAGAUGCAGAAAACGCAAAAGAAAAAUGGCUACAUUUCUAUUUUAUAUUCGAUGGGAGGUGGAAUAUGGUGAAGAGGGAAAAACAGAUGAACCUGUGCACACACCCACUCAAACUCCGCCACGUAAAAAAUCGUGUGUGCUGCACGGCUUUGUUGAAGGACCAGCCUCAGCAAAGACAAUCGGGCACCACGUGAACGAAUGUGCUUAUAUGGGACUGCCUUUAUGUGCCGUUCUAAAGGGAUUCCAAACGGCUAUCACAGUCAUAAUAUGUCACCUUAAAAAUUGGACGUAGUGCUAAACAACGAGAGGGUGAUUGUCAACCAUAUUUUAGAAGGGUAUCAAUUGCAUUGGCUUUUUUAUUGGUCGUACAGCGCGCGCCGGUCUUUAUUUUACGGGGAAUAGCCUACUGUCCACACAUUAACAUGGGAAUGCCUUUAAAACCGCAUGAUGGGGUUUAGGACAAUAUUAUCAACGGACAAAGGGCAAAGGAUGAAUCCAGGCAAGGAAGCAUGCUGAGAAACAGAGACAUAUGAUGAACUGAUUCACAGGUAAGCAGUUGCAUGUCCAUUAUGAAGAACCCGCGAAGGAAAAAAAAUAUUCCCGAUUCAACACAAGGACAAGUGAAAAAGAAAACAAGAAGUGGGCUCUUCCAGUCACGUGACAGCAUCAAAUCCAUGCCUUUGGAUAAGAGCACGCAGACCUUCUCAGUUUAAAUCCUAACAAUGCAGAAAGUCGCUUGCUAUGACAAUUCGGGAUUAUAUGGAGGCUACUACCCAAAAUGGGAUUCUUAUACGUGCAGAUCCACUGAUCAGCCGUAUACGCUGAAAAAUUUGAGGGUCCAGUUUUCCCAGUACAAUCACCGAUGGGCAGGUGCACGGGAACAAAUAAUAGCCAGGUAAAUGGACAAGUACCAAGCAACCAUAAGCGACAACAUGCUUCUCCUUCGCCAGCGUCUCCAAACUCAACUUGCACCUCCCAGAAAAAUAAGUCAUCCCACAACAGUGCGUCCAGUACUGUCACCCCAGUUGUAACAAAGAAAAUAUAUACAUGGGUGAAGGACACUGGCGCAAAACUGAUGUUGCCGCUUUUUAUGAACUCCAUAAAGUUUUCCAAGAGUUGUUUUACUAGCCUUGUUAUAUACCGUUAUUAUUACUAAAACUGCAGUGGCACAUUUUUCUGUUCGAUGAACAUCCGUACAGGGAUUUUUAAAAUCUAUUUCAAAAUCGGUAUACUGCCUAACAUAAAGACUGAAAAUACAAUGCCAUUUUGCUUGAAGGUAAGUCCUGUGUAGCUCACCAUGUUUGCAAAUCACCUAGAUGGCUUUAGGCAAAAACCACAAGUGUGAAAAAACAGCGGAUUUCUUUAUCUGGAUCUGGAUCUGGUAUUAAUUUCUCAGAUUGACAAUCAAUGCUUAUAUAUAUUACAUUAUCACUUAAUAUACACUUUGGCUUCACGUCUUAAACGUGCGACGAAUACGAAACAGAACCUUUAUUCUUUUUCUACCUGCUUUCUUUCAAUUUUUGAUAACUAUUUUUAAAUUAUAUCCAUGAUCAUGCAGAUACAUUUUAGACUAAAAUCUCACACAAAUGUGCUAAAUGCAAUCCUAAGCAGAGGAUACUGCACAGAAGAAAUAAUAUGAAAUAAAGAAGCAGACCUCCAUAUGCUUAUUCAAAAAUAUACUUAGACUGUGUUACUUGUAUUGUUUUACAGCCUGAUUCGUCAACCUUAAACCCCACAAAAAUUAUGCUAAGGCCAGUCAGACCUUAACGCCGACACUUGGCACCAUUGUGGAAAAAGCGUAACAUUAAGAUGAUUCUUUCCUCCUUCUAUGAAAAUAUUUGUGUUCGGAUUCCUCUGAGAAGUGACUUCGCACUAAAGAAUGGAAACGUGUUAAUUUUGUUAAUUUAUUAUUUGUAACAGCACUGACAAUAAAAC